rnacentral:rRNA from 1 species
CAGCCGCCGCGGUAAUACCGGCGGCCCGAGUGGUGGCCGCUCUUAUUGGGCCUAAAGCGUCCGUAGCCGGGUUGGGAAGUCCUCCGGGAAAUCUGGCCGCUUAACGGUCAGAAUGCCGGAGGAUACUCCCAGCCUAGGGAGCGGGAGAGGCCGAGGGUAUUCCCGGAGUAGGGGUGAAAUCCUAUAAUCCCCGGGGGACCGCCAGUGGCGAAGGCGCCCCGCUGGAACGGGUCCGACGGUGAGGGACGAAGGCCAGGGGAGCAAACCGGAUUAGAUACCCGGGUAGUCCUGGCUGUAAAGGAUGCGGGCUAGGUGUCGGGUGAGCUUCGAGCUCGCCCGGUGCCGGAGGGAAGCCGUUAAGCCCGCCGCCUGGGGAGUACGGCCGCAAGGCUGAAACUUAAAGGAAUUGGCGGG